UACGUAGGCGGUUUAUUAAGUCAGAUGUGAAAGCCCCGGGCUUAACCUGGGAACUGCAUUUGAUACUGGUAAACUAGAGUAUGGUAGAGGGGGGUAGAAUUCCUAGUGUAGCGGUGAAAUGCGUAGAUAUUAGGAGGAAUACCAGUGGCGAAGGCGGCCCCCUAGACCAAUACUGACGCUGAGGUACGAAAGCGUGGGUAGCGAACA
rnacentral:rRNA from 1 species